GCCGCGGUCGUCUAAUGGCAGGACGGGAGGCUGUGGACCUCCAAGCACGGGUUCGAUUCCCGUCUGCGGCC
rnacentral:tRNA from 1 species